rnacentral:rRNA from 1 species
UAAUACGGAGGGGGCUAGCGUUGUUCGGAAUUACUGGGCGUAAAGCGCACGUAGGCGGUUUAUCUAGUUAGGCGUGAAAGCCCCAGGCUCAACCUGGGAACUGCGUUUAAUACUGGUAGACUAGAGACCGAGAGAGGAUGGCGGAAUUCCCAGUGUAGAGGUGAAAUUCGUAGAUAUUGGGAAGAACACCGGUUGCGAAGGCGGCCAUCUGGAUCGGAACUGACGCUGAGGUGCGAAAGCGUGGGAAGCGAACAGGAUUAGAUACCCUGGUAGUCCACGCCGUAAACGAUGGGUGCUAGUUGUUGGGGCCUCAGGUCUCAGUGACGAUGCUAACGCGUUAAGCACCCCGCCUGGGGAGUACGGUCGCAAGAUUA